AAAAAGAAAAACCCCACCACUGUAAAAGCUUCCCCAUUGUUGAACCUGGUUCGUUAAUGGCUUCCCAUCUAAGAACACCACCUCCUCUCAGCCAAGAUCCACCUCUCAGCCAUCGCUGCACCACCAUCUCAUCCACCUUUCGGCCUCUCCACCUCUUCGAGUGCAAGCAUCGGCCGUGGCUUCUCGCUGUAAAGAGCAGCAAAGCGGAAGGAACUCUCACGAGAAAAGCACAGAAGUGGUGUGCAAUUGACUUCACUUGAAAUCCCAAAAAUUCAUUAAAUUUUGUGAUGCAACACUAGUGGCCGGAUUUCACAUCUAAUGACUAAUAUAUAAAUUAUUUUAUUACUUACACUACCAAUAUAACCAAAUUAGAGCACACAUCAAAAAUUUCACUAGAAGAGGUUGUUUUGAUGCCGAAAAAUCCUCAAAUUGAUCAUCUCAAGAUCACUAUGCUUGGACAUGAGAAAAAAAAAUGGAUUUGAAGUUUUGGAAAUAAUGCAUCUUAUAAUGUGUUUUUGGACCGUCAAUGUUCAAGAUUUUUAUGUUUUCAUAGAUAUGCUCGAUCUACACUAUUUUUGAAGCUUUAAAUUUUAUAAUUAGAGAUAAAACUAUAUUUUAAACUAUCACAAAGAUUUUCAGUAUUGAAACUAUAUUUCUCAACGCUAUUUUAAGGUGGACUCUACUUUGAUUGUUUAGAGCCUCAGCUCUAUAUAAACCACACCCUUGUAUUAUAUAUAGUGUAUUUAUAUUCAUUUUAUUAAUGUAUAUUUGUAUAUAUAAUAUAAUAUUUAUUAUAUUAUAUAUAAUAUAUGAUAUUUAUGUAUUAUAUAUGAAAAUAAUUAUAUAUUACACAAUAUACAUAAAUAUUAUAUAAAUGAUAUAAUAUAAAUAUAAAUAUAUAUUAUAUAAUAUAAUACAGAUAUAAAUUAAAUGGUUUGUGGAAGAAACCGCUUCAAGGGUCAAGUUCCUAUUUUAAGUUCUAUUGUUUUAGAUAGAACUGCUCAAGCUCUUGAGCACAAGGGAAAAAAAAGUUCUAUGGGAACUUCUCAACAGUAAAGUUUUUUGCAUCACGGGAGUUGUACAACAAUGAUGAAGUUCCGUUUUUUCUCCCCCUAAUUUCCUAUUAUCGAGCAAGCUCUAAGAAUAACGUUGACUUGGUAAACUAGCUAACACUUUAGUUCUAUGAACCUUGUUUAUUUUAGUAUGAUAUAUACAUUUAGAGAAAAUAGUUACGACAAAAGCUUUUCAUAUGUGACCAGUCAUUCAUGACCCCUAAACUACUAAAAAAGCCAAAAACAGUUAGAAUUGCAAAAAUAGAAAAUUAUAGAUACCCUCUAGAAUCAACUUUCUAAAUGUCCUAUCACCAAAUACUUUUUGUAUCGUAUCUUAGACCCAACAAUAUUUGUUUCUUAUAUUUACAUGCUUUUACAAGAGAAAAUUGUACAUUAGUUCUUUUUGCAAAAUCCUACAGAAUUUCUAUUGAAUCCAAUUUUUUAAAAUAUGACCUACCCAAAGUAGCAACGUCAAGAAAAAGAAAAAGUUCAAAAAGCACCCUAGAACAACCUGAAAAGCAUCAAGUACAAUUUUAGGAUGUUGGAUAUUAGGUUUUUAGGUAUUCAAAAAUUUGUAUUGUCUUUAUUUUAUUUCUUAAAAAUAAUUAUAUAGCAAUUCUAAAGUAGAGUAUAUAUUUAUAAGGAAAAAUAUACAAAGAGACCGUUUACUUUUAAUAUAAAAAAGUCAAAAUCAAUCUCUUCCGCACCUCCAAGAAUUACUAGAAGGUGUGCUUCUAAUGCCCAAAAUCCCUAGAUGGCUUGAAAAUGUAUAUCACUUCCAAAUUAUGAAAAAGCUUCAAGAAUGGUGCAGAUCAAGCACAUCGAUAUAUAUGUAUAAUCUUGAAAAUAGACAAUUCACAUAAUGUUUUACAAAAUGCACUAUAUUUAGGAUUUAAUUUUUUUUUUAUAUCCAUACAUGGUGAUGUCGAGAUAAUUUUAAGGUUUUCUGAUAUUAAUAAUUUUUCUAGUAGAAUUAUGAGGUCCACAUUAAUUUUACCUUAUAAAUUCGACGCGUGAUAUAAAACUCUUUCACUUCUCUACCAUAAAGCUGACGCGUUAUAUAAACUCUUUACUUAAAAAUUUCCUCCAAAUUAAAUCACUGUACAUGUUGACAUUUUCUGUCCAACGUCAGCAUGGCAUGAGAGAUCACAAAAAAGAAAAACAACAAAACCUCACUUUAAAGAACCACGUUUCUAUGCGGCUAAGCCACCUAUGUAUAAAGGAGGAUCUCUUAAUAAAUCUAUUUUUGGGAUGGAUUUUAAGACCUAAUUUUGAAAGAGAAGUAAUCCCUAACAUGGAGAUCAUGAAUUUAAAUAAAUAAAUAAAUUUUAAAAAUUAAAAAUAAUAAUUCUAAUAAGAAAACAUUUGGAUCGUUAGUUUCCAUUGUUUUUAGAUAGAACACCUAUUUGUAUUCAUCUUUAAAAUGGAUGCUUUACAUUUUCUGGACCGCAAAUGUAGAAAUGCAAUCCAACCCGCAUAAAACAAUUUUCCUACUCUAAAUUAAUUUACUCGAUGUCAUUUCAAAGGUAAGGCCUAGUAUGACUAUGACAUGAGGUCACCCUUGUGAUUGUAGUGACGCUGAUGCAAUGCCUAGAUGAUCUUAUCUCGUUUUGUAAUAAGACUAUACUAACUUAAGGGAUAUUCAUCUGUGUACUCCUGGAAUAAUUUUUAAUACCAUAUUAUUAUUAACGGAAAAAUACAAAAACCCCUCAAAAGUAAGCUUUUUAGACAACCUCCCCGCAAAAGUAAUAUUUUUUGACGAAAAUGCUCUCCCCCAUAUAAAAGAAAUUAUGUUGGGCCACAGCUUCACGAACAUAGUGCCGGAUCGAGAGAAAAAAGUGUCGGACCGCCUUGAAAAGUGUUCGACCGCCCUUUGAAAAGUGUUGGGCUGCCUUUAAAAAGUGUCAGACUCAAAGGAAAAAGUGUCGGGCCGCCUUUAAAAAUUGCCGGACUACCAAAUUGCAAGAGAUUGCGUAGAUUCCCUCGUCACACUGCAUCAAUGAAUUGCCGAAUGUGGUCUUCGAAUUGCCAUAGAGUGUCUGUUGGUUCCCAACUAGCCUCACUCUCUGACCGCCUUUAUAAAGUGCCGGACCUCCUUUAUAAAGUGUUGAACCGCUUUUAAAAAGUGACUUUUUGACUACAAGGUAUUUUUGUUUAAAAAAUUAUGAUUUUUUGAUUUACGGAUAUCUGCUAUAAAACUUAGUUUUUGGGUAAAAGUUGCAAAAAAAAGCUUGAUGAGGUAGGUUAACUAAAAAGUCUACUUUUGGGGGAUAUCUGUAAUUUUCCCUAUUAUAAAAUCUGGUAUAGGUUUUUUUGCAACCAACCUUAAAGUACAAAAGUUGGUUUCUUUACCAAAAUACCAUCUUUUGACCAUGUUUCUCACUUUCUCUCUCUACGCUGGUCUGACAUGCCGUGUAUAGAGUCGGAACUAGUUUGGGAUAUUUUUUGUGUUCAACUGGCUCUAUGUUUACUUGUACAAAGCUUGUCCGACAUAUUUUUUGUGUUUGACCAAUUCUAUAUUCAGCUUGUGCCGGACCGGUACAACCGGCAUACUUUUGUGUCGAACUAACAAAUAUUAGGCAUCAUAUUUCAAAAAUAUGGUUUAAAAUGGGAAGUACUUUGGUCCCAAAAAAUUAACUUCUACUUGGGCGGUGAUCGCAUAGAAAAACAAUGGUGUGGUUGAUAGUGUUCGUUCAAAAGUGUUGGGUGUAAAGCUGCCUUGAAAUUACCAAAAGGGGGGGUGGGUGCAUCCAUAGCUUUCCAUGUUAACUUCAUAAAUAUCGUCAAAAUAUUUGAUUCUGGUGUUGUCCUCUCAAAAAUAUUAGCAUUAUGAAAAAAUUUAGAAAUAAAUUAUUUUAGAAAUAAUUAAAAUAAGAGAUAAAAAAUAUCUAAAAUAAAAUUUGAAUGAUCUAUUUUAAAUUUUAUUGUAUUUUUUCUUAUUAGAUCUAUGAUAAUCAUGUUCGUCGAGAUUAUAUCGACAUAUGAGAUUUUAGAACCAAAAUUUAUACAUAAGAAAUUCCUUUCUUUAGGUUUGGAAUGUUAAAGAAAGUGUAUAUUAUCUACAAGGUUAAUAUGGAAGGUGUGUUCACUAUAACCAAUAUGUAUGAAAAGAGUAAGUGCCUUGUCCUGUAUUUUAUAGUAAGUAUUAAUAUAGUAUUAUGUGUUUUUUAUUUCUUUUCAUUUCUACCAUUCAUUGGAUAUACAUACAUAGAGGUUGUAAAAUCCAGAGAUUAAUAGAAACAAAGUUCUUUUUACAUAAACCAGAGACUCAUGGUAAAAAAAAAAAAAAAAUCGCACACAAACUGUUAGAUGUGUUCCAUGACCUAUCAUAUUCACAGUCCAGAAGCCGAUUCCACGUUUUAAAUCACUGCUUAUAACCCAGCAACUGUUCAUCUCAACCGCCCAUCAUGGAAACCAAUUGGUUAAUGUAAUUACCAAAGAACAUCGACAUCCACUUCUUUGUGUCAUCAUAGUUUUUUAUUCUUAUUUAAAUGUCCAGCCAAAUAAUGGUGUCCCUGUGUCUUAUUCAAUAAUUCUACGAUGGGGCUUUUCAGUUGCAUUAUUUGAACUGAAAAUCAAGACGUUUCAACUGUAUAAUUCUUUCCAUUUAAUCAUGAUGUGCCCGCUGAAGUAGCAUGCUGCAUUAACCAGGAAAAGUCCCAAUUAAUGGUGGUCCUCUCUAACGAUACGCACGAUCCAGACUUGCUAAGUUGCCAGAAUCCGUGUUGUGGAUUCGUGUAGAUUCAGAUUAGGAGGAUUGGCAAUUCAGAUCCAUGGAACUAGUGGAAAAUAGGGGUGGCAAAAGGUCGGGUACGGGUCGGAUCUGGCUGGACUCGGACCCAUACUCAAAUGAUAUUCGGAUCCAGGUUUCGGACCCAGACCUAUCGGUUUAAAAGUUGAACUUAUACCCGUACCCAUCAGGUCCCAGGUCUAUCCCAUCGGAUCCUAGGUUUGGUUGGGUCCAUUGCCACCUUCACUAUGAGCUAUAUUUUUUUUGCCCUUUCUCUACCAUCAUAUACUUAUAUUAUUGGCAACAAGGUCACAACCCCCCGCCCAUAGAUUUCAAGUCAUAUGAUUUGUUGUUUAAUAGUUAAAGAUGACUACGACUUCUUAUUGUAUACGAUGCUUAAUACACCCAAACAAAUUGGGUUUGAAGAAUUUUAUCUCCAACAGUUUACGGGUACGGAUCAGGAUCCAAUCAGACGCGGACCCGAAUUGCGUUUGGGUCCAGGUUUUGGACCAAGACCCAACCCUUAAAUGUUGGACCCAUACCCAAACCCAUGUUAGAUAUAUACCUAGUGGGUCCCAUGUCAGGUCCGGGUUCAUUGCUAUCCCUAAUGGAAAAUAAGCUCUAAAAAUAAAAUAAAAUCCAGAGAACUUGGAGGGGAAGGCGAGAUUGGCUGUUCUUGACUGAGAUUGCUGGAUUUUAAAACCCUACUGGCUACUAAUGCUCUUGUUAUGGCAAUUCAUGGGCAAAAUUCUGCUCACAUUAGUGAACCGGUAGACUUGUCUUCAAAAUCUGGAUUGUUGGGGUGGAUUGCCCAUCCCAUGAAUCUGGGUCACAUUGUUGGUCUGGAUCGAUCCAAAUCUAUUCAAAUGGAAAAUAUGGAAAAACAUUAAAAAAUUUAAAAUAAAAAUAGUUGUUCGUGGAGUGGGGAAUUUAGACCGAUACCUAAUAUAGGUGGCCAGAUUAUGAAAGACUGCUUUGUAUUUAGCAUUAUAUCGUGUAAUAUUGAAAUCACACAAAAUAUAAUCCUCACCAAGAGAAAAGGAUGAAGUCUCUAUAGACCUAGACUUUAUGAAAGAAAAAUAAAAGCCUCACCUCAAAUCCUCGUCUGAAAAGUACUUUCGAGAAUGGAAAUACCCAUGAUGGAUCUAAAUCAAUUUCCAACACUGAUAAUAAAAAUGGAAAAUUUCCAUCACUGAUUAAAAUUCGAAACUCAAGAGAGAGUACAAAUGUUGUUGAUCUAUGAACACAUAAUUUUAUAAUGAAAUUGACAGUUUAGAUAAUUUGUUAUAAUAUACAUGAUUUUUAAAGCUUAAAAUCCUAAUAAUACCUUAUGGAUUGAAAGUUAUAACUGUGCUAAAUGGGACAUGUCACUGUCCCAACUGCACAGCAGGUUUCAGAUAGGAUGCCCCCUUCUAAUGAGCUUUUAAAGGACCAAACGGGGUCCAAACGUUUCCAAAGCACCCCCAUUUGAAAGAUAUGAGUGUCUAGUGCAAAAUUAAUUUUGGAAUCGUUUUCGAAUCUCGAAUGGAUAGAAUAUUAUGGCCCUGUUUAUGACUGGACAUCACUGUCUAUAAUUGCUGGAAAAUAGGAUAUUAUGAUACUGAAAAUAUGAUAUCGUGAUACUGAAAAUAUGAUACUGUGAUAUGACGUCACUGAUUAAUGUUGUGAUUCUGUUAUAUUGAAAUUAUUAAAUGUGCCAUGACCGCUAUGCAAUGGGUCCUCCAUUGGUAGUUGGAUAUAUUGUAUCUCGACUCUUAUGAUAGAAGUGGAGUCGAGAAGUGACUACGAAUGACAGGGAGGGUCGCGUCCCUCCCCUCCCCCCCUACCAAAAAUUAUUAUGGGCACUACGCAUUGGGCCCUCCAAUAGUAGUGUAAUGCCCUCUCGUCUGAAGGCGUAAGGAGAGGGUUGUGUCUUGCAAGGCCACUGCCUAUCGAAAAUCCCAAAGCGAGCAAAGGAUUCUGCGCAUGAGUGAGGACAUUGUGAAAUGGGACAUCCAUUUUUCAUUGUCCUCCCUCCUGAAUGAGGGUAGAAGUUCCAAGUUGCAGGGUUGGCUUAGCCUGAUCGAGGUGGCGUCUACUUCGGGAGUAAAUAGAUAUGUUCUAUCUGUUUGAAUUAGGCAUUCUGUGUGAACAUCUAACUGUAAUUGUGAUAAGCAUAGAUGUAUUUUCCAUCUCAAGAACAAUUGAUACUCUGAUAUCUAAAUGUUGCUCUCUUUAAACGACAAAUAUAUUUUCUGAUGCACAAUCUUACUCUGUGACGUUAGUAUGAUUUCUGAUGAAUCGUAGACCAUGUUAUUAUGUAUAUGCAUGUAGGUGGAAUUGCUAGGGCACUGAUCUACUUACUGGGAUUUUAGCUCAUUCUUCUUAUUUUUCCAUCUGUGUAGAGUGAUAAUCGACCAUUCUUGAGAGGGCAACUGGACAAUGGUGGCAGGUGGCUGAAGCUUGGGACUGAUCAAGGAACUUUUUGAUGGUAGGUGUCGGGUGGCGGUGCCACAAUAUUGUUUUGUUGUAAUGUUGUCUUGUUAUUAUCGGGCCGGGAGUGCCUUGGAAAGAAUUGUAAAGAACCUUUGGAGAUUUUAUACGUACAUAAUGGUUUUAAUUUGUGUGUUAUUAUGUUACUUGUUGAAUGAAUUUUUAUUUUCUUUGGUGGUUUGCUUUGAUUCUAUAUUUCUAAAUGCAGUGAACCAGUGGGUUCUCCCCUUUGGUAGAUUUGUCUAUGAAGAUUGAGAGGGACUGUGAAGAGUCUCGAUUCGAGAGAAAUAGGAAAAUGGGACCAGCUCAGUUGGAGAACCUUGGGAGGAAGACUCGGCCGCCUCCGAAGAAAUGCUUCAAGGAAAGAUAUAACCAAGGAAAUAAGAAGAUUCAGAAGACCUUUUCAAGCGACAUAAGGAAGAACCAGUGCCCGAUGUGUCCAUACAAUGGGAAGGACAAUCACUCUGUGGCUAAGUGCCAGAGAAGGGCAGGAGCGUAUUUCAGAUGUGGAUAGCCUGUCCGGUAAAGGGACCAAAAAACCGAUCGAAGGCUCAAGGUCGGGUAUUUGCUCUCAUCGAACGAGAAGCCAACGCAUCUGCUUAUGUAAUCCGAGGUACGCUCUUUGUUUGUGGCAUGGAAACUAAAAUUUUGAUUGACCCUAGAUCUUCGCACUCUUUUGUUGAUCUCAUUUUGGAUGCCACAUGAAUGCUAGACCUGCACUUCUUGACUGGCCUUUGGUAGUAUACGCACCUAUGGAGGAAUCUUUAGAAACUGAUAUUGUUUAUAAAUAUUAUGGACUCUUGCUUAAAGGAUGUGUCUUAUCUAUAGACUUGAUACUGUUAUACAUUCAAGAUUUUGAUAUUAUUUUGGGCAUGGACUGAUGUCCACACAUUAUGCUACAGCAAAUUGCUAUGAUAAAAUUGUAACCUUUAGAUGCCCAAAUCAACCUGAGUUGAAUUUUGUAAGCAUUAAGGAUGGCUCCCCUCUACACCUUCUUUUGCCCCUUCGGGCUUCUCGCCCAUAGGCCAAAAGAUGUGUUGGGUAAUUGGCCUAUGCAGUAGAGAAUCAAGAUGUCCAAUCCAAGUUAGAAGAGAUACCAGUGGUGAGGGAAUAUUCUGAAGUUUUUCUUGAGGAGUUGACAUUUGUGCCUCCAUUCAAGGAGGUGGAAUUUGAGAUAGAUGUGAUUUCAGAUACAGUUCGCAUUUCUAAAGCCCCUUAUAGGAUAACCCUAGCCGAAUUAAAGGAACUAAAAGAACAAUUACAAGAGUUGUUGGAAAAGGGGUUCAUUUGACCCAGUGUGUCACCUUGGGGUGCACCGGUCCUAUUUGUGAAAAAGAAAUAUGGGUCUUUAAGGCUUUUUAUAGAAUAUAGAUAGCUGAACCAGGUCACUGUAAAGAAUAAAUACCCCUUGCUUGGAAUUGAUGACCUUUUUUACCAACUUCAAAGGGCCCAAGUGUUUUCUAAGAUUGACCUUCGGCCAGGCUAUCAUGAACUACAGGUCAAGGAAGAAGAUGUCCCUAAAACCGCGUUCAGGACUUGGUAUGGACACUAUGAAUUCUUGGUAAUGCCGUUCGGGUUGACCAAUGCUCUGGCUGUCUUUAUGGAUUUGAUGAAUAAAGUUUUUAAACCCUUUCUAGAUGAUUUUGUGGUAGUCUUUAUUGAUGAUAUUAUGGUAUAUUCAAGGAACAUGGAAGAGCAUGGGCAGCACUAGAAUGGUCCUCCAAACUCUAAAGACCGAGAAGUUGCACGCUAAAUUGGAGAAGAGUGAAUUUUUGCUUCCGAACCUGUCCUUCCUUAGGCACGUUGUAUCUAGGGACGGGGUGACAGUUGACACUUGUAAAAUUGAAGUUGUACUUUAGUGGGGAAGACCGACGAAUGUGAUUGAGGUCCGUAGUUUUUUGAGACUGACAGGAUAUUAUAGGCGCUUCAUAGAAGGGUUCUCAAAGAUAGCACUCCCCCUCCCCCUGACUCGCCUAACCCAGAAAGAAGUGAAGUUUGUGUGGACAGAUGAUUGUAAAAUAAGCUUUCAAGAACUGAAGAAGAGAUUGACCACGGCCCUGAUAUUGGCCUUCCCCGAAGGGAACGAGGAUUUUGUGGUUUAUACUGAUGCCUCUCAAAAAGGGCUUGGAUGUGUGUUGAUGCAACGAGGGAAAGUCAUAGCGUAUACCUCAAGACAGUUAAAGUCAUAUGAGAAAAAUUACCCAACUCAUGACUUGAAACUCGCAGAUGCAGUGUUUGCCUUGAAAAGAUGGAGACAUUACCUCUAUGGGGCCUAGUUUAAGAUAUUUACAGAUCAUAAGAGCCUCAAGUAUCUAUUUUCUCAUAAGGAGUUAAACAUGAGGCAAAGAAGAUGGAUGAACCUACUCAAUGAUUAUGACUGUACCAUCAAUUACUAACAGGGGAAGACCAAUGUAGUAGCUUAUGCUUUGAGUAGAAAGCCCAUGGUAUCAAUGGUACAUUUGAUGGUUUAAGAGAUGAAACUAUUAGAAGAUGCAGUGGAGUGGCUCCCAACCCUGCCCCUUAGUGAUGGGGUAGGAAUGACAGCUUGUAUGAGGAUGGAGCCCCAACUCUUUCACUAGAUUCAAAUGGCACAAAAGGAAGAUCCCUGACUCAUGAAAAUCUUAAAAGAAAUAAAGCUGGUAAGAAAUGAUGAUUUCUCUAUGAGCAGUAAUCAUCUAUUAAGAUUUAAAGAUCGGGUAUGUGUUUCAAAUGGUGAGAGUGUGAAGCAUGCUAUUUUGGAGGAAGCACACGACUCUCGUUAUAUUGUACACCCAGGGAGUACUAAGAUGUGUCAGGACAUGAAGAAGACUUUCUCGUGGAAUGAUAUGAAAAAGGAAGUGGCACAGUUUGUCUCUAAGUGCUUGACAUGUCAGCAAGUAAAAGCUGAACAUCAGAAACCCGUCGGACUGUUGCAACCCUUGCCCGUACUAGAGUGGAAAUGAGAACACAUCACUAUGGACUUUGUCUCUGGCUUGCUUAGAACAGGUAUUGGGCAUGAUAGUAUUUGGGUCAAUGUGGACUAAUUGACUAAAGCUGCUCACUUCUUACCGGUCCGCACAACUUAUACUUUGAAUAAAUUGACCCAAUUAUACAUUAAAGAAAUUGUAAGGUUGCAUUGAAUAUCUGUCAGCAUCGUGUCCGACAGGGACACUAGAUUUACUUCAAGAUUUUGGAAUAGUUUGCAAUCAGCUUUGGGGAUACAACUCUUUUUUAGCACUGCUUUCCACCCCCAGACUGAUGGCCAGUCAAAAGGACAAUUCAGACCCUAGAGGAUAUGUUAAGGGCUUGUGUUAUUGAUUUCAAAAGAAGCUGGGAUGACCAUAUGCCUCUGAUAGAAUUUUCUUAUACAACAGCUUCCAAGCCAGUAUUCAAAUGGUGCCUUUUGAGGCCAUGGAUGGGAGGAAGUGUAGAUCACUUAUCUGUUGGGAUGAGGUCAGUGAAAGGAGAAUGUUAGGGCCAAAAAUUGUUCAAACGACCUCAGAAAAGAUUGCCUCGAUGCAAAAGAGACUCAAGACUGCUCAGAAUCGACAGAAGAGAUACAUUGAUAAUCGAAGGAGAGACCUCGAGUUUGAGGUGGGUGAUCGAAUUUUCUUGAAGGCAUCACCAACUAAGGGUAUUAUGAGAUUCGGCAAGAAAGGAAAAUUGAGUGCACGAAUUAUUGGACGUUUUGAAAUUCUGGAAAAAGUUGGGAGUAUGGCUUAUCGACUUUUCUUACCACCUGAGUUGACGAAUAUUCAUGACGUGUUCCAUGUAUCACGAUUAAGGAAAUAUCAGCCGAUCCCAUCCCAUGUUCUGAGCUAUAAACCAAUUUCGAUCAAAGAAGACUUGACUUAUAUUGAACAAUCGAUUGAAAUACUAGACAUAAGAGUGCAGGUGUUACGCAAUAAAGAAACUCCUCUGGUCCGUGUGUUAUGACAGUAUCACUCAAAGGAAGAAUCGACAUGGGGACGAGAAUAUGAAAUCUGGGAUAAGUACCUCCAGUUGUUUGACUAACUAAAAUAUGAUUUUGAGGACAAAAUCCAAUUUAAGGGAGGGAACGAUGUAACGACCCAGACUUUCCCAGCCAAAGAAAGUAUGCCCGGCGGUAAGAGGGAAGAAGAUGAGAAAGUGCACGCGGUGGUAAGAGAGAAGAAGAAGAAGAGAAAGUGUGCACGACAGUAAGAGAAAAGAAGAAGAGAAAGUGUGCGCGGUGGAGUGCGCGCGGCGAUAAGAGAAGAAGAAGAAGAGAAAAUACGUGUGGCGGUAAAAAAGAAAAGGAAGAGAAAAUGCGCACGGCAGGGUGCGUGCGUGCAGCGGUAAGAGAGAAGAAGAAGAGAAAGUACGCGUGGCAAUAAGAGAAUGAAGAAGAGAGAGAAAUGUGCUCGGUAGUGAGAAGAAGCAGAAAAGAGUUUCGUCGUGCACAACAUCGUCGAGCCUGUACAUGACUCAUGGAUGCCACUUGCCUAUUGCAUGCUGCCACAAUUGCCACAUGUCAAACUGCAUGUCACUGAACUACCACAUGGCAACCCCAACCUAGCACCUCACACUUUUGGAGUACAUAAGCCUCUCUCUCUUUCCCUCACGCCAUGUUCUUACUCUUACAAGGCAAAACACGUAGCAUCAGCAACCCCCUUUUCUAACCUUUGUUGGACCCCAAAUUGAGGAGCUUGAGGAGUGAGUUGUGGGUAGAAAUCUAAGAACACCAUUGCAAACACAAGGUAAGUGGGUCAACUAUCUUGUAGGUCCUUAAGCAUGGAUUUAGCAUGAAUUAAGUGUAAGAAUGAGCACGGGUAGAUGCAUGAAUAGUGGAUGUAUAUGUACACUGUUAUAUUAUGAUUUCCAGCACUUUAGCAUUCCUUUGCAUGCUCAAAAUGAGUAUCAAAUCUUCUUUUCUUUCCAUGGAAAACCUGUGAUUAAGUGUUUAUGUGUAUCUAAUAGUCAAUAAGAGAGGUUUUACAUUAAGAUAUAGAAUUUGGGAUUAAUUGGUUGUCAUUUUGAAUUAUGCUACAACUACACUUUAAUUUUCAAGAAUAUUCUAUGUCUUUGUAAUCUACUUUUGAUCGAUCAAAUGAGAUCCAAAUGACCUUAAAUCACUGCCAUUAGAGAUAUAUAUGUGUCUACUAAAAUGUUCUUGUUUGAAUCUUACUCAAAUCUUUAUGCAUGAAUAGUGAUUCAAAAUGUGCAAGUAGGUCACUGUUGACAAAUUUAGUAAAAUUACAGAACUGAUGUCCCUGUUGUCACGAAUUUUGACUGACCAAAUAAAGUCUGUUUUCUUUUAAAUCACUGCCAUUUGAAAUAUCUUUGAGUAUGCUUGCAAUCAUAUGUUGAAAACAUUUCGAAAUUCCUCUCAGGUUGAGAGUUAGACAAUUAUUUGUGAAGAUAUGUUACCGUGGAUAGAUAUCAUAAAAUCCAGAACCAUUACUUUGGUUUUCACGAAUGAAUGCCUGUUCUCAAAUUGCCAGUGUUUGAAAGACACAUGUUUUUACUCGAAUUUUGAUUUUGAAAACACUUCAAAAUGUCUUAUGGAUUGAAAGUUAUAACUCUGCUAAGUGGGAUAUGUUACUGUCCCAGCUGCAUUGCAGGUUUCAGAUGGGAUGCCUCCCUUCCAAUAAGUGAGUUGGAAUAUAUGUUUGUCUAGUGUAAAAUUGAUCUCAGAACCGUUUCUGAAUCACAAUUGGAUCGAAUAUUAUGACCCAAUUUAUGACUGGACAUCACUGUUUGAAAUUACAGGAAAAUGUGAUACUAUGAUAUUGAAAAUAUGAUAUCGUGAUACUGAAAAUAUGAUUUCAUGAUAAUGAAAAUAUGAUACUAAGUAAUGUUGUGAUUCUUUUAUAUUGAAACUGUUAUAUGUGUCAUGACCGCUACGCAAUAUGUCCUCCAUAAGUAGUGGAUACUAUGAUUCUGUUAUAUUAAAACUAUUACAUGUGCCAUAACCGCUACGCAAUGGGUCCUCCACUGGUAGUGGAUACUGUGAUUCUAUUAUAUUGAAACUGUUAUAUGUGCUAUGACCACUACGCAAGGGGUCCUCCAUUGGUUGUUAGAUAUACUGUAUCUCGACUCCUAUGCUAGGAGUGGAGUCGAAAAGGGAAUAUGAAUGAUAGAGAGGGUCGCGCCUCCCCCCCCCCCCCCACCAAAUUGUUAUGGGCACUAUGUAUUGAGGCCUCUAAUGGUAGUGUAACGCCCUCUCGCCUUAAGGCAUAAGGAGAGAGUUGUGUCUUGCAAGGCCACAGUCUAUCGAAAAUCCCAAAACAUGCUGGGGAUUGUGUGCGUGAGUGAGGGCAAUAUGAAAUGGGACCUCCAUUUGUCAUUGUCCUCCGUCCUGAAUAAGGGUAGAAGUUCCAAGUUAUAGGGUUGGCUUAGCCUAAUCGAUGUAGCUUCUACUUUAGGAGUAAAUAAAUAUGUUCAGCCUAUCGAAAUUAGGUAUUAUGUGUGAACAUUUGACAGUAACUAUGACAAGCAUAGAUGUAUAUGGCAUCUCAAGAGCAAUUGAUACUUUGAUAUCUGAAUGUUAACUCUCUUUAUACGGCAACAAUAUAUUCUGAUGCACGAUCCUACUCUGUGAUGCCAAUAUGAUUUCAUUGAACCGUAGACUAUGUUAUUAUGUAUAUGCAUGCAGGUGGGAAUGCAAAGGCACUGAUCUACUUACUGGACUUUUAGCUCAUUUUUCUUAUUUUUCCAUCUGUGUAUAGUGCUGACCAUUCUUGUGGGGGAAACUAGACAGUGGUGGCAGGCGGCUGAAGCUCGAGACUGAAUAUCACAACCCCACCCCUUAACCUCUACCGGAGGGCGAUGGAGUUCGGGAUCGUGACCGAAGGACCCGAACGUCACUCAGGUGGGAGUGGCUCAAUGCAUGAAAAUGCAGAUUCAAGAGCAAACCAUUAAAGAAAGCUAGAAUAAAACAAUUCAUCAAAUAAAGAACAAUUCAAAAGUACAUCCAUCUCAUUCAUAUGAGUGUUAAAAAGCCUUUACAAAUCCUUCAAGGCACUACUGGCUCAAAAUACACAAAAUGAGGUACACCACACAUUACUAAGACAUCCAAAACAUACAAUGAAAGUCUUCAAAGGAUGGCUUUCUAACCUCUCGACUUCUAGCUUCAUAUCCCUAAUGGUCGCCCACCUUAAGCGUAGGUGUCAACACUCUUCACUCUAUAGUUAUGAAAUAAGAUGGAAUGAGCUAAAAGCUUAAUUUGCAGAUCUCCACCAUUGCAUUUCAACUAGUAUGAUAGUGAUAACAAAUACGUAACACACACAUAUACGUACAAAUCCAUAUGUAUUAAAUAAAGUCCCUCAACAUGCUUCUCAACACUCUAAUAGAAAAUGUGAGAGAGGCAGUUCAAUAUAUAUGUAAUGCAGAAGUCACAUCCCACCUUUCUUAAAGUAGAGUAAUAAAGACAGUAGAUCAUAAUUGCAGUUAGAAACUCAGGCAGAAAGCUUAAAUAAGUCCAGCAAACACAUCUACCUACUCCUAAAAUAGAAGUCACAUCAGUCAGGCUAAGCCAAUCCUGAACUUGGGACUUCUACCCUCACUCAGGAGGGUAGACCAUGAAAAGGGGAAGACCCACUUUGUAAGGCCCUCACACACACACACAUCCCCAUCGUGCUUUGGGGUUUUCGAUAGGCUGAUGCCUUGAAAGACACUACCCUCUCCUUAGGCCUUUUUUUGUGAGAGGGCAUUAUACUACCAUUAGGUGACCCAAUGUGUAGUGCCCACAAAGAUUUGGGGGGCGCGACCUUCCCAACUACUCACAUCUUGAGUCUCAUCCUAUCAUGGGGAGUCAGGGAAAAAUCAUAGCUAUCAACACCAUCCUUCACACAGUAGGUGCCAUUUCGCAUAUAGCAUAAGCAUCAUGAUAUCAUCAUGCACACAGUAGGUAUCCAUUCACAUAUAGCAUAAGCAUUAUGACACCAUCAUUCACACAAUAGGUAUCCAUUCACAUAUAGCAUAAGCAUUAUGAUACCAUUAUUUACACAGUCGGUAUCCAUUCACAUAUAGCAUAAGCAUUAUGAUACCAUCAUUUACACAGUAGGUAUCCAUUCACAUAUAGCAUAAGCAUUUAUGAAGAUCAUGCAAUUCAUAUCGUAAUAGGGCAUUCAUCAUAAUCAUGCUUCCAUGUCAUAGCAAAGCAUAACUUCAUUAUCAUGCAUGCGUACGUGCGCUCACAGUUGGGGUCCUAACUUUUGGACCAUUUAGAGUUUGAAGAUGAUUACAAAAUCAAUUUCAUACCGAACACACUAUCCCUCACUUGGGAGUGGUUUAAAGAGAGCAGGAUUAUAUUUGACCUCUUAAAGGUUCAAGGAAACGAGGGUUAACUAACUGCCCCUUGCUGUGUACGGUGGACAGCAACGUGCUCUGCUUCAAAUUAUAACAUUCAAACCGUAAAACAACUUAUGACGAUUUCAAAAUUAAAGUUUAAGUCAAGACGUAUAUCUUUCUAACAAACCAAACUUUAAAGCAUUUUGAUUCCAUUUGGUAGUUCGAAAAUUCAUGGCAAAUAAGACAAUAGUUUUGAUUUUCAUCAAUACUACCCACAGUGACAUACCUUCAUAAAGCAAGGUAUAACUUUCAAUCUAGGAAGCAUUUCAAAAUAGUUUCCCAUAAAAAUUUUAGCCCAUUCAAAUGGUUGUGGUUUGGCUGAAAACGAACUUCGUUUGUCUAGUAAAAUCAAUGACCACAGUGAUGUAAAUGAAAAUUCCAUGAAAAUAGUCAAUAAUGAUAUACCUUUCUAUUUUGAAAUAUAAUUUCAUUUUUGUAAGCAAUUUUAGAAAUGGGUAAAAAUAAACGUUUUACUAAACUCAUAUAUCUUUCUAAUAGGGGUGAUUUGAGGUCAAUCGGACCCCAUUUAGCUGUUCAAAAGCCUCCUAUAAGAACAUAUAAACUUCUAAAAUUUCACAGUGGCGUACAAUAUGUCUCAAGCAUAUAUCCCAUGAUCUUCAUUUCAUGGUGAGGUACAUGAUAACAAUCAUUCUCUCACAUUGUGAACACACACAUAAUCAUGCAUAGCAUGCAUUUCUUACAUAAUAUAAGAAUCAUGCAUUCAUUAUUGACAUUCACCAUUAUUAUAGAAUAAGAGCCUCAAUUUCUAAAUAAAAAGGCAUUAGGAUUUUCUUACAUCACAUACACUUUCAUUCUCAUUUUACAUGCAUAAAUCCCAUGCAUCCUUACGACUAUCAUGCAAUGGUGAUGGAUCCACUUACCUAAACGACAAUAGUGUCUUCUCCACUUCUCUCCUCAUAGCUCUCACCUACCCAACUAUGGCUGCCCACC
rnacentral:lncRNA from 1 species